UAUCGUGACAAGUUGAAUUUUCAAUUACUUUAACCAGAGUUAUAAGAGGAAAUAGCUUCUGUUAUGUACUUUCACUGACAUGAUUCGUGACAACAAAUGUAUUAUCUUUAUCUUCAAAAAUAAAACUACUAACAUAUAUGCAAUAAUGCUAAAAGAAAUACUUGAAAAAUGUUUCUUUUCUAUAGUGACAUGUAUAGUACAUAUGAAAUAUGUUACACGACGACCGAAGGGCAAGAACUCUGGAGGGAGAAGCGGUUUGUUUAUAUAGGAGUUAAAAGACUUACAUACGUCGCUUCUAUUCCCAUUCAAGUUUGCCAAAGUUGGUCUUCGGGCUGUAAAAAAGUGUGAAAGAAGCAAAGCUGUGCAAGAAAUAAACCAGAAACAGAUAUGCUGAUAAAGUGAACAGGGACACAAAUGUUGUAUUGUCUUAUUAAAGUGAAAAAUCGUUUAUUUUUCUUUUACAGUGUAAUUACCGACUCACUUCAUUCGAACAAACAGCCCGUGCAAAGGAAGAAUAAUUAAAACUUGCUAGAGUGUUUGACGUCGCAAGGUCUUACUAUCCGAUCAUGCAGCAAGAAAAGCAGUCAGCUUUCGGGUCUAUAUAAAAUUGGUUCGAAUUCCGUGCUAAGAAAGAUUUGACGAAGAGGAAUAAACUGCAUUACACCAGCAGCUGACUCGCGAUUUGAACUUGAUCAGUCAAAUGAAAGGAAGCUGGCAGACCUGAUAGAGGGAUAAAAUUAAGAUCCGAUACUCUUCGACAAUUUAAACGGAGCGAGAAGACUGAAGGAAGAAAAUAUUUGUUUGAAGUAAUGAAAAGAUAUUUUUAAGGCGUUUGAAGUACAUUCUUGUUUUAAGACAAUAACAAAAGAAGAGAAACAAGCCGAGCUGUACAGAAAUCAGCCACCUUAGAACGAAAAAAGCAAAGGUGGUAAUAUUUUCUAACAAUGAAAUAUAUUUUACUUUCUUUCAAGGACAAGACACAAACAGAUGAUUUUUUUUCAGUAUAUCAGAGUAUAUUGCAAAAAUGUCUACACAAGGGUCGGUACAUAAGUUAAUAAUAAUAUUCAUGAUAAUCAAGACAUGACAUACUAAACAAUCAUUUGUUUGAAUGACAUGUAUUAUACUAUAGUUCAUGCCAAAUACAAAAUACACAAUGUUUAAUGAUUCUGUGAUUCUUAUUCAAAAGUUGAA